UUUAAUCGCGUCAUUAAUGUCAAAAUGUCAAAAGAGAGAGAGAGAGAUGUAAAGUAAAUGACCAUAAAACAAUAUAUCGUGUCAUAAGUCAUCCAAUGUAACAUGAUGGCUUACAUGAUACGAUCAAUAGUUUAUCUUGUCACAUUUUUUUUGAUUGAUCAGAUCAGUUUUUUUGAGGAAAUCCGACCAAGUCCUAUUUGUCGAUGCUCGCCGAACUGUGCAGGACCUAUUUUUCAGUUAUUUUUUCUUAAUUUUGAUUUUUUUUACCUUAACACGAUAUAAAUAAUGUUACAUAGUUAAAAACGUCCCAGCAAAAUAUGGUAGAGACCUAGUUUCUAGUAAUAGUUAUUUAUAAAAUUAACUUAAGGUGAAGAUCAUCGAUAGCAAUCAUAUUUCGAUUAAGUAAUGAUAGGAUAAAGUUUUUCCUUCUUUUCCGAUGAAGCUAGUAUAUUCUUCCCUCCCCUUUGCUGAAUAGACUAGACCACCUGUACCUUUCCACACGCACGUCUACCUUGUUAUAGAGAGCGAUAGCUGCGACUAUUCGAUACGAUGGUCUGAAGCUCUGUAGGUUAUCGAUGGUGCAGGUUGUGUCUGUUACUUGAUCCAGGAUCAGUAAUAAGUGGUGUGUGAUGCAUCGAAACUAUGGUCGGCCAACGUGGUGUUACUUAGGAAUUUUACGGGUUGCAUAUUAUGCAUAGAGGCACCAACGAUCUAUAUCAGCUUGAGGAACUAGUGUCAAUUCGCCUUACCGAGCAGAAAAAAAAUGAAGUCUUAUGUUCGGAUCGUCUUAGCCAGAUGACAAA